rnacentral:rRNA from 1 species
UACGUAGGGGGCAAGCGUUAUCCGGAUUUACUGGGUGUAAAGGGAGCGUAGACGGCAUAGCAAGUCUGAAGUGAAAACCCGCGGCUCAACCGCGGAACUGCUUUGGAAACUGUUAAGCUGGAGUACUGGAGAGGCAAGCGGAAUUCCUAGUGUAGCGGUGAAAUGCGUAGAUAUUAGGAGGAACACCAGUGGCGAAGGCGGCUUGCUGGACAGAGACUGACGUUGAGGCUCGAAAGCGUGGGGAGCAAACAGG